rnacentral:rRNA from 1 species
GACGAACGCUGGCGGCGUGCUUAACACAUGCAAGUCGAGCGGAGCGGCGAACGGGCGAGCAACGCGUGAGUAACUGCCCCCCUCCCUGGGAUAACAGUUGGAAACGGCUGCUAAUACCGGAUCGUGGGGGAUGACUCGGGGCCUAUCGGCUUGUUGGUGGGGUAGUGGCCUACCAAGGCGACGACGGGUCGCCGGCCUGAGAGGGCGACCGGCCACAUGGGGCUACGGUACGGCCCAGACUCCUACGGGAGGCAGCAGUGGAGAAUAUUGCACAAUGAGGGAAACCCUGAUGCAGCAACGCCGCGUGCGGGAGGACGGCCUUGGGGUUGUAAACCGCUUUCAGCCAUGACGCGGUAGUGGCAGAAGAAGCACCGGCUAACUACGUGCCAGCCGCCGCGGUAAUAC